CUUGAAGAAAAAAAUGGUUGAAAACCUUCCAAAAUUGAUGAAAGACAUGAAUACAAACAUUAGAGAAGCUCAAUAAACUUCAAGUAGGAAAACUGGAAGAGAACCAAGACACUUUACAACCAAACUAUCGAAAGCCAGAGACAAAGACAGAUUAUUACCUGCCCUGAAAGAAAUGAUAAGGGAAUCCUUCCAGUUGAAGUGAAAAUACACUAGACAGUAACAUGAAGAUGUGAAGAAAUAAAGAUGUCUGGUAAAAGACUCAUCACAAGGCAAACAAUAUGCCUGACCCGCCACUCACCAAGUGCGACUAUGGGUAAAACAUUCACCUGCUUGAACCUCAGGCUCCUCAUCUGUAAAACGAUUUUAUAACUGUUUGUAAUGUCGACUGAUCCAAUAAGGACAAGUGAGAAAUCUGUUCCUUAUUAAAAUGUCAGGUAACCUUGAAGCAACAUCCCACACUCUGUGCGGCUGAAUGGGAUCCACACAGAACUUGGGGCAUCAGGGGAGGCCACUCGUCUCUACACAACUGAGGUGUUCAUUACCAGACGUGAGGCCAGCCAGCCUCCUGCACCGCUGUAGUGAAGGAAGAUCCCAGCCUGGCUCUUCUGGAGUUAUCGGGCGGCUUUCCCCUCUCAUUUUCUCUGGGACCUCACAACACUGAUUAUUAUUGUCACCCCCGGAUCCUCCUCCUGUCUCUCUGCUCACACAGUAAUAGAAGGCUCUCGAUAGGUUCAGGUCUCUCCAGUCCUUCAAAAAUGACCACAGGACCCUGCAAUUCACCUACUGUUCUCCCUCUCAAUGCACAACAAACUCUGUCUGUUUCCAAACUGGAAUAAGUGUUUAUGUGUAAAGGUGGAACUGGGUGGCCUGAGACAUGGUGAUACGGAGA
rnacentral:lncRNA from 1 species